rnacentral:rRNA from 1 species
UACGGAGGGGACUAGCGUUGUUCGGAAUUACUGGGCGUAAAGCGCACGUAGGCGGAUUUGUAAGUCAGGGGUGAAAUCCCGGGGCUCAACCUCGGAACUGCCUUUGAUACUGCAAAUCUCGAGUCCGGAAGAGGUGAGUGGAAUUCCUGGUGUAGCGGUGAAAUGCGCAGAUAUCAGGAGGAACACCGGUGGCGAAGGCGGGUCUCUGGGCCGAUACUGACGCUGAGGAGCGAAAGCGUGGGGAGCAAACAGG